AUCCCCGCCCCCGCGCACCCAGCCCGGGUCGCCGCCGCCGCUCCCCGCUGCGCACGCCCGUUGCGCUGCGCCGUGCCGAGCCGUGCCGUGCCGAGCCGUGCAGAGAGCCGUGCCGGGCCAGCCCUGUGCAUUGUGGUCCGCCGGCGGGGGGCGAAGAUGGCCGAGAAGCAGAAGCACGACGGGCGGGUGAAGAUCGGCCACUACGUGCUGGGCGACACGCUGGGGGUCGGCACCUUCGGCAAAGUCAAGAUUGGCGAACACCAGCUGACGGGGCACAAAGUGGCAGUAAAAAUACUAAACAGACAGAAAAUACGCAGCCUGGAUGUGGUUGGGAAGAUCAAACGAGAAAUUCAAAACCUGAAACUCUUCCGGCACCCUCAUAUUAUCAAACUGUACCAGGUCAUCAGCACACCAACAGACUUCUUCAUGGUCAUGGAAUACGUAUCUGGCGGAGAAUUAUUUGAUUACAUCUGUAAGCAUGGACGCGUUGAAGAGGCAGAGGCUCGACGCCUUUUCCAGCAGAUUCUCUCCGCAGUGGAUUACUGUCACCGACACAUGGUUGUCCACCGAGACCUGAAACCGGAGAACGUGUUGCUGGACGCGCACAUGAAUGCAAAGAUAGCCGAUUUUGGAUUGUCCAACAUGAUGUCAGAUGGUGAAUUUCUUCGCACUAGCUGUGGUUCCCCAAAUUACGCAGCCCCUGAAGUCAUCUCUGGAAGGCUGUACGCCGGUCCAGAGGUGGACAUCUGGAGCUGUGGCGUUAUCCUCUACGCCCUUCUCUGUGGCACGCUGCCCUUCGACGACGAGCAUGUCCCCACGCUCUUCAAGAAGAUCCGGGGAGGUGUGUUUUACAUCCCCGAGUACCUCAACCGCUCUGUUGCCACGCUGCUCAUGCACAUGCUGCAGGUUGACCCCCUCAAGCGAGCAACCAUCAAGGACAUCAGGGAACACGAAUGGUUUAAGGAAGAGCUGCCCAGUUACCUCUUCCCAGAGGACCCUUCCUACGACGCCACCGUCAUCGACGAUGACGCGGUUCGGGAGGUCUGCGAGAAGUUCGAAUGCACCGAGUCAGAGGUGAUGAACAGUCUGUACAGCGGCGACCCGCAGGACCAGCUGGCAGUUGCCUACCACCUCGUCAUCGACAACCGGAGGAUCAUGAACCAGGCCAGUGAGUUCUACCUUGCCUCCAGUCCCCCCACCGGCUCCUUCAUGGAUGACAGCAACAUGCACAUCCCUCCUGGCGUGAAGCCGCACCCCGAGCGGAUGCCGCCUUUGGUAGCGGACAGCCCCAAGGCACGGUGCCCUUUGGAUGCACUCAACACCACAAAGCCCAAACCCCUGACUGUCAAAAAAGCCAAGUGGCAUCUGGGGAUCCGCAGCCAGAGCAAGCCCUACGACAUUAUGGCCGAGGUGUACCGUGCUAUGAAACAGCUGGAUUUUGAGUGGAAGGUGGUGAACUCCUACCAUCUCAGAGUGCGCAGAAAGAACCCAGUGACGGGCAACUACGUGAAAAUGAGUCUGCAGCUGUACCAGGUGGACAACCGCAGCUAUCUCCUGGACUUCAAAAGCAUUGAUGACGAGGUGAUGGAGCAGAGGUCCGGCUCAUCCACUCCGCAGCGCUCAUGCUCUGCCGCAGGGUUGCACCGGCCGAGACUGAGCAUUGAUGCCGCAGCAGCCACCGAGUGCCAGUCGCUGAUGGGGUCCCUGAGCGGCUCCUUCGUGGGCAGCAUCCCCUCGGUGCCCCCACGCCUGGGCAGCCACACCAUGGACUUCUUUGAGAUGUGCGCCAGCCUGAUCAUGGCCCUGGCUCGCUGAGCCAGGCACCAGUCCCCCAGCACAUGGUAUCGCACUGUGAGAAUCGGGUCCGACGUGGCCGUUCCUUCUUUCUUCUUCUUUCUUUGUCCUCCUCACCGCUCCAUAGCCUGUGACACAGAACCAAUUCCUUUUUUAAAAGAUCCAAAAUGUACUCCUUUGUACUCUCAAAGGAUCCAGUCCCCUCUAACAAGGCACUGAGGAAAUCAGGAAUAACUUAAUUUCACUAGUUAGACCAGGGUGAAGUGUAUACAACGAGCUUUUUUUUCCUAGUGAACCAAAUGGGAAACGUGGGCAUGGAUUUGAAGUAGCAAACCUAUCACUGACUUUUUGGUAGACACCUCCCUCCUGGUUGAUCCUGAAUUCACAGAGCUGUGGCCAAGCAUCUCUUUGUACAAAAAACAUAGCGUGCAGCGAGGUUCAUGUUGUACCCCCUGUGCUGCCCAGAGCAGGGGGAGGAUGGGGCUGAGCCUCUGGCAAUGCUUUCCUCCUAAAACCAGCAGCUGCUGAAGUGCUGCUGCACUGUUGUGGUGUGCCAUCCCACCCUCUGUUCUUUUUCCCCUACUAAAGAAGUGUGAGGGGUAGGAUGUGCAAAGCUCCCAUUGCAGAUGUGGGGCAGGAUGCUGCCGAGCCCCCCCCCAAAUCCAGUGCUCUGCCCACAAUGUUCUCAUGGAGGGAGAGCUUCCCUGUACACUUGAGAGCCAGCAGUGUGGCCCUGGCACAUUUACCUUUCACCUUUCCUGUAGGAAGCUUUUGGCCAUCGUCACCGCCCCAAAACAUCUGCCAAAGCCGCCUGCCUUCGCCCGUCGGAGGAUCUGAGAACAAAGAGCUCUGCUGUCCUGAUGCUGAAGGGGCUGGGACCUCGCCGCUCCGUGGAGAAGGCAGGGAUAUCUUGAACGUUUCACUGUUCCUUUACUAUCUGAAGGAUAGGAUUUUAUACUUUAAGACAAACUGUGGGGAUUUUUAAGGUUAAAAUUCUUGUUAUUUGAGGGUAAACUCUAGUGCAUGUGUGACGACUUCUUUGUUUAAAAGAGUUACUACUUCUCAUCGCGUAGGCUUAAUCUCAUGGACAGCGUUGGCAUCUGCUUGGCUUUGCUAUGGUAUUUAAUUCCAUUUACUUGAUUGCGAAGGAACAUAAUAGGCUAAUCAGUCAAGGAACAAAUGCUUUAUGAAAACUUUGCCAAAAAAUCCUGGGUGGUUUUUUUCAUACUUUUUUGGUUUUGUUUUAAGAAACAAAACAAAGGAGAACCAAUGUUACUGGUCCCAGGAAUGUGGUCAUUUGAUGUUUAAAAAAAAAAAAUCCAUUUUUUUUGAUAGCCUCUUAUGACCCUAGAUGGUUUUUGCUAGGAAUUGUUUCUUUUGUACAGUUGCACUUUAAUUUAUACUUUCUGAAAGUUUCUAUGAGAAGCAAGGAAGAGAAAGACACGUUAAGCCUUUUGUACUAAUCAUUUUAGGUAAUGAAGACAAAUACGGGAUAUUUUUGCCAUCUACUGGCAGUUAAGUGGACGUUUUCAACUUGAAGUCCCUUUUUUUAACAAACACAAAAUUGCCUUACUUUUGUUACAGAUUACACUUUGAUUCUCACUAGUGUGAAUUUCCAGCUCCGUUUUUUCCAGAAGCCGCACAAAGUAGAAAGCUGCCAAAAACCCAUCCAUUUUGCUGUUAAGUUCUCAUAUGCAGAAUCCAACACAGCAGUGUUUGGAUUACAAACCUGACAGCAGAACAAUUUUGUUUUUAAAAGAAACACUGGAAAUAUUUGUAGUACUCCUAGGUUUUGUAAUAAGCUUUUAUUAUAUUAUUCUUAUGAAAUAAAUACUCUGGGGUGAGGAAUGGCUUUGACAGCCUGCCUGGUGGCUGUCAGGUGACGCACGUCUCCUGUGCUCUGGUAUAAGAAAGAACAGAGAAUCCAGAAUCCUGCAUACAAAAAAAAGAAAGCCCUAGAGCCAAAUCUGGCCAGCAUCUUGCUCCUUAGGAGCUUUUGGAUCAGUGCUGAGAUGCCAGCAAAGGUUGGGCAAACAGAUCUGGAUGUUUUAGGUGCUGGAGAUAAGCUCCUCGGAAAGGAGCAGGAGAGGGUGGCCGAGUGGCUGCAGGUACAGACAGGAAUUCCCAUCGAGGAAACAAUUAGGAAUCUCCGUGUCCUGCUCCCUGCUGUGAAGUAUAUUUGUAAUGUAAAAGGCUGUUUAAGUCAUCACUCACAAUUUAGCAUCUUGCCAAGGCACUUGUCCUGGAAACAACUGUGGCCCAGCUGAUAAUGGGCUCGUGCAUUAGAUGUAAUCUGUAUUUCAGAAGUGUGUAGAUGUACUGAUGUCUUGCCUUAAAAUUACACUUGUCCUCUGGGAUUUCCUACCCCGCAGGACUAGUAGUGUUAAGCAGCAGCACGUUCCCUAAGGAAGAAAUAAGUGCUUCCUGGAGGCACGUGGGAUUUUUAGGUGGUAGGAUAAGACCUUGUGGCACUUUGCAUCUUCUCAGACCCAUGCAAACAUUAACUAAACGUAUGGAUCUGCAAAACCAGUCCUGCCAAAAAGGCAACAAGAGUGUCUCAGGUUUCCAUAUGGAGAAAAGCAAAGAGACGAAGCUACUCUCAGCAGAGGCAUUGCAGCAAGUAGGUCGGGUGGUAAGCAUGUAGAGCUCCAGCCCAGAGCUGGUGGAAGGACCUCAGCGAACAGAUCGGAUUAAACUCUCCAUUAAACAGCCUUACCUAAAUCCAUGCUGCAUUUGGAGAUGUUCUGAGACAUUUCAUCAUUUUUAUUUUUUUUUUAACUUUCAAAUAGGCUGUUUUCUGGUUCCCAGAAGCAAAGAAACUACUGACCUCCAGAUAUGCUUUCUGGAGGAAAAGUUUGUUUUACACUGUUACACUGUGGUCCAGUGUUUGAGUUAUACUGGUACGUGCACGACCAUUAGGAAAAGCAGGGUAGAUGUAUUUGAAGUAAACAAACUUGAAUUCCUCCAAGUGCAAUUCUUCAUAAGCCACUGGACAGCUGUGCUUUGCAAGCCACAGAUUCACCCGAAUAUUGCUUCAGCCCAACCGGGAGAGAGACACCAUGCAGAGGUCAGUUAGGCUCCAGCAUUAACCUCCAGCUCCUGGUUGAGUUAAUUCAGAAAUAGCUUGUAAUGUACUAGUUGGCAAAUAUAUAUAUGUGUAUAUUAUAUACGCAGGGGCAGUUUGGGUCUCAGGAGUUGGAGCUAAGCAGGCAAAGGCAGCGGGAGGUUUUUGUUUAAUAGGUUAGAAGUGCACAUGCAGCGUGUGUCCAGUUUAGCUUUCCAGAAGGUGUGUACAAGCACAGGGAUGUGGGCAGUGUUGUAAAAAGUGAAGCAACUGGUUCGUAUCUGUUGUAUAUACAUUAUUUUUUGUGAUUAUAAUGCCAAAUCAUAUCAGAAUAGAUGAAGUCUGAACAAAGUAACUGUUCUGUCUACUCCGUUUUGUUUUACUGCUCUUUACCAUCAGUCUUUUGUGCACCCAUGUAGAAGGAAGAGAGACCCUAGCACAGGACAUGAAAUCGUGCCUUCAACACACAUUAGGACUGCUGGAAACUGCAGCUUUAUUUCCCGAGGUGCACAAAUCCCACAGCUCACGCAGAAUCGUACCGAGUGCAAAGCAAAACUGAAUCCCAGGACGACUGUAGUACCCAUGGCCCAGCAUCUCUGGGCAGACAAUCCUCACCUCUGAGAUAGGAACCAGACUAGCCCAUUGCAAGGUUUGGUUUGGAUUAUAAAGAAUAUUUAUGAUUUUUCUUCUGCUAAGAUGCUGAACUUUAAAAAGCUCUGAGUAUAAGCAUCUCUUCAAACGUAUCAUUAACAUGAAGCUCAGAAGAGAAUACUAAGUUCUAUGACUACUCCAUCCUUCUUGACAUUUUGUACUUUGUCAACUAAUCAGGAAGGUUGUGUUGACUGGUUCACUGAAAUUGAGAUUUAUUUCUGGGUAUAGCCUUUGUGGAAGGGCACAGAGCUUGGGUUCAGUUUUGGCCUUUGUACAAGUAACUGUGCAUUAGAUAAUCACAAAGAAGUCUUUUACCUUCUGUUGGUGGUGUGGAAAGUGGUUCUCAGUGUACUGCACUGCAUGUGAUAGCUGUUUCCAUGGUUGACAUUUGCACUUUAAUAAACUCAGAGACAAAAAGAGACAGUAGCAACAACUCCUUGAAACUUACUGGCUGGGUGAAGGGGCAGAGAAGAGUGUUAAAAUACCUGAGUGCGUAACAAAAACAGCUUUCCCAACCCAGAAUGCACACCAUGAGCCUGGCCCACAAAUUUUUCUCCCAUUUUAACAUGCAUCUAGUGGAGCUGAUGGACCUGUCCUGAGUCAGAUCUUGACUUCUUACGUAAAAGCACAGAAACAAAUAUUU